UGAGGAAUAUUGGUCAAUGGGCGCGAGCCUGAACCAGCCAAGUCGCGUGAGGGACGACGGUCCUACGGAUUGUAAACCUCUUUAGGCGGGGAGUAAUGUGCUCUACGAGUAGAGUAGUGAGAGUACCCGCAGAAUAAGCAUCGGCUAACUCCGCGCCAGCAGCCGCGGUAAUACGGAGGAUGCGAGCGUUAUCCGGAUUAAUUGGGUUUAAAGGGUGCGCAGGCUGUGCAUCAAGUCAGCGGUAAAAUCUCGGGGCUCAACCCCGUUUAGCCGUUGAAACUGGUGUGCUGGAGUGUGCGCGAGGAAGGCGGAAUGCGCGGUGUAGCGGUGAAAUGCAUAGAUAUUGCGCAGAACUCCGAUUGCGAAGGCAGCCUUCCAGUGCAUGACUGACGCUGAGGCACGAAAGCGUGGGUAUCGAACAGG
rnacentral:rRNA from 1 species